UACGUAGGGUGGCAAGCGUUGUCCGGAAUUAUUGGGCGUAAAGAGCUCGUAGGCGGUUUGUCGCGUCGGCUGUGAAAACCUGGGGCUUGACUCCGGGCUUGCAGCCGAUACGGGCAGACUAGAGUUCGGCAGGGGAGACUGGAAUUCCUGGUGUAGCGGUGAAAUGCGCAGAUAUCGAGGAGGAACACCGGUGGCGAAGGCGG
rnacentral:rRNA from 1 species